CAGGAUAAUGUCUUUGGUAGACAUGGUAUUUUGUUAAGUCUUAGGUAGACUUCUAUUACUCCACGGGUUGGAGGAUUGCCUUUGGUAGGCAGUAGUGGUUAUGUGCACAUUUCCUCUUUGGUAAGAGGUUCACCUUUGGCCAGGUGUUAAAAAGAAUUUCAAGCCUUUGGUAGGCUGUGAUGUCCUGUGAUGUACAUUUACAUAUGGGAGACGUCCCUAGAUCCCUCUUUGGUAGAGGUUGCCUUUGGUAGGUUGUAAAACAGAUUUCCAGUCUUUGGUGGACUGUGGUAUUUAUUUAACGUAGAUGUAAAUUUUGCAGACUAAAAUGGUUUAAAAAAACCAAAAAAA